UGCAGAGAAGGGCUUAACUGAAGCUAUCAAGUGCUUGUUGGAAGCUGGUGCAUACCCAAAUGUUUUUGACACGUUUGGUAGAUUGCCAAUUGAGUUGGCUGCUGAGUAUGGUACACCGGUAGACAUUGAGAUUCUCUUUCCUUCCACCUCUCCUGUUUCAACUGUGGCAAAUUGGAGUGUUGAUGGAAUCAUUAGUCAUGUGAAGAUGGAAAUCAAGCAACUUGAGGAUGACAAUUUUGUGGAAAAGAGGAUGUAUGAGCUGAAAGGCCAAGCGGAUGAAACAUUUAAGAAGCAGGAUUAUCUAAAUGUAUCGGUGCUCUACACACAGGCACUGAAGAUGGAUAACUUGGAUGCCAAGUUGUUGUCAAACAGGAGCCUUUGCUGGCUUCGCAUGGGUCCCCCAGGAGUAUGACGCAGCUUAUUGCUCACUGUCGCGUGCUUUAGAGUUGGACCCAGAAAACGAGGAUAUUGAGAAAUUAUUUUGGCAAGAGAUCCAUCUUUCAUCUUGUUUUUUAUUUGUCAGCAGCUGCAAUUUAUAGGCGCUGCCGUAAUCGGAGGCGAUGGAACAGAAGUGAUCAUGCGGACUGCAGAGAGAAGCUGCUCACGCGUGCAGCUCCGUUUUUUCUACUCUCUUUUUUGUGUAAUAAAAUUCACUUAUGAUCAGCAAAACAUGUUAGUGUCAAUGUUAUGCGAUGCUGUUAGUUCUACCCGUUGUAGAAUAUUCUCAAGUCCAAAUGUUUGAGAGUAUAUGCUUUCUUUGACUAGCCCUGAACACUAGUACUUGAUUUAGCUGAUGAUGAAUGAAUCGGGUAACUAUAUAUGCUAGAGUGCAAUAUUUGACAGCGGAUCAAUAUGUUUUGCAUUUCAAGGAACA